rnacentral:rRNA from 1 species
UCCUACGGGAGGCAGCAGUGAGGAAUAUUGGACAAUGGCCGGAAGGUUGAUCCAGCCAUGCCGCGUGCAGGAUGACUGCCCUAUGGGUUGUAAACUGCUUUUGUACGGGAAGAAACGCACCUACGUGUAGGUGUCUGACGGUACCGUACGAAUAAGGACCGGCUAACUCCGUGCCAGCAGCCGCGGUAAUACGGAGGGUCCGAGCGUUAUCCGGAAUCAUUGGGUUUAAAGGGUCCGUAGGCGGGCCGUUAAGUCAGGGGUGAAAGUCUGCGGCUCAACCGUAGAACUGCCUUUGAUACUGGCGGUCUUGAGUCGCUGUGGGGUUGCCGGAACAUGUGGUGUAGCGGUGAAAUGCAUAGAUAUCACAUAGAACACCGAUCGCGAAGGCAGGUGACCAACAACGUACUGACGCUGAUGGACGAAAGCGUGGGUAGCGAACGGGAUUAGAUACCCCGGUAGUCCACGCCGUAAACGAUGGACACUAGCUGUGGGGACUUCGGUCUCCGUGGCCAAGCGAAAGUGAUAAGUGUCCCACCUGGGGAGUACGUUCGCAAGAAUGAAACUCAAAGGAAUUGACGGGGGCCCGCACAAGCGGUGGAGCAUGUGGUUUAAUUCGAUGAUACGCGAGGAACCUUACCAGGGCUUAAAUGCAGACUGCAUAAGCUGGUGACAGCUUUUUCUUCGGACCGUCUACAAAGUGCUGCAUGGUUGUCGUCAGCUCGUGCCGUGAGGUGUCAGUUAAGUCCUAUAACGAGCGCACCCCUACCGUUAGUGCCAGCGAUUCAAGUCGGGGACUCUAACGGACUGCCGGUGCAAACCGUGAAGGAAGGUGGGAACGACGUCAAAUUCAUCACGGCCCCU